rnacentral:tRNA from 1 species
UCCUCGGUAGUAUAGUGGUGAGUAUUCCCGCCUGUCACGCGGGCGACCCGGGUUCGAUUCCCGGCCGCGGAG